UACAGAGGGUGCGAGCGUUGUCCGGAAUCACUGGGCGUAAAGGGCGCGUAGGCGGUCUCUUAAGCGUGUGGUGAAAGCCCGGGGCUCAACUCCGGGUCGGCCGUGCGAACUGGGGGACUGGAGCUUGUCAGAGGCAGGCGGAAUUCCGGGUGUAGCGGUGGAAUGCGUAGAGAUCCGGAAGAACACCGGUGGCGAAGGCGGCUUGCUGGGCCAGUUCUGACGCUGAGGAGCGAAAGCGUGGGGAGCGAACAGG
rnacentral:rRNA from 1 species